AUUGAACGCUGGCGGCAGGCCUAACACAUGCAAGUCGAGCGGAUGAAGGCAGCUUGCUCCUGGAUUCAGCGGCGGACGGGUGAGUAAUGCCUAGGAAUCUGCCUGGUAGUGGGGGAUAACGUCCGGAAAGGGGCGCUAAUACCGCAUACGUCCUGAGGGAGAAAGUGGGGGUUCUUCGGACCUCACGCUAUCAGAUGAGCCUAGGUCGGCUUAGCUAGUUGGUGGGGUAAUGCCCUACCAAGGCGACGAUCAGUAACUGGUCGGAGAGGAUGAUCAGUCACACUGGAACUGAGACACGGCCCAGACUCCUACGGGAGGCAGCGGUGGGGAAUAUUGGACAAUGGGGGAAAGCCGGAUCCAGCCAUGCCGCGGGUGUGAAGAAGGUCUUCGGAUUGUAAAGCACUUUAAGAGGGGAGAAAGGGGAGGAAGUUAAUACCUCGCUGUUUGGACGUUACCAACAGAAUAAGCACCGGCUAACUUCUG
rnacentral:rRNA from 1 species